rnacentral:misc_RNA from 1 species
GUGUUUGUGUACUCACUCUGGUCAUAGUCAUAUAGACAUUUGGGGAGUGGGAGUGAACGUGUCGAGUUAAGAAGUAGUUGGUUUACAUGAUUAUGUUGUUGGAAACCCCACUCUUAUUGCGAGUUUCCAACAACUAAUUACUAAGCUCCAUUAUACUCUCUUGGUGUGGAUCAAUACUUCCUUGUACAUCGAUGCGGGGCGCAACAAGAUCUUAUUGUGACUGUGGAAUGUGAUUCAAUUUUGUGAUGAUUUCAAAUGCUGUGCUGUCUUUGGAUAUGUAAAGUAAUAAUAAUACUGAAGUCUGGAGGAUUAUUAACCAAGAUUGACAUCCUGUGACCUUAAAAUGGGGGAGAGGUCUCAGGUACCAUGCAUCGUGAUUGAAGACGAUGAUGAUGUUAUUUUAGUGGAAGAUGAGAAUGAAAAACCAUCGUCCUCAACUUACUCUGGAGGAAUGCCACGACCAAAAAAGACUGAUUAUGAGUUGGAAAUGGAUCUACUUCAAACUUUACUGGACACUGGGGAAAGAGUUCCUAUAAAAUACAAAUUAUUUUUUCGAGCGUGUUGAUGCAACCCCCACAGCACGUGUCAAUAACCAAUUCAAAGAGCUCUCCCUAACCACAUCACUCACAGGACGGACGGUCGCCCACUGGCCACUGACAGAGAUGGCAGCCUACCCCUUCAGCGAGCCCCACCACUUGCUUUUAGGUGGUGUGAGAUCAAGUGCUAUAAAAUUCUGGCAUGAUUCUGUAGGUGCCGUGUGACUCUUAGGCAUUUCUUUAGGUGCUGUGGGACUAGGUACUAUGACAUUAGGUGCUAUGGAAAUCAACCUUAUUAGACGGUUGAAUUUUAGGUGCUGUGACACGAAUACAUCUUUAGGGGCUGUGAACCCCACGAUUGAUAUAUAUAUAUAUAUAUAAGUUUAUAAAAACCCGUAGUUUGAGAGUUUAUUUUACAAAUUUGAAAAACAAAUUAUAUAAAUAGUAUAUAUAGUUUAAAAGUUUAUGAUCGUACUAUAGAAAAUAUUUAAGGAAGGUGAAUUGUCUA